AAGGAUCACAUAGAUCUUAAACUGAAGAGUUUGAUCAUGGCUCAGAUUGAACGCUGGCGGCAGGCCUAACACAUGCAAGUCGAGCGGUAACAGAUCUAGCUUGCUAGAUGCUGACGAGCGGCGGACGGGUGAGUA
rnacentral:rRNA from 1 species